rnacentral:rRNA from 1 species
UACGUAGGGUGCAAGCGUUAAUCGGAAUUACUGGGCGUAAAGCGUGCGCAGGCGGUUUUGUAAGUCUGUCGUGAAAUCCCCGGGCUCAACCUGGGAAUUGCGAUGGAGACUGCAAGGCUAGAAUCUGGCAGAGGGGGGUAGAAUUCCACGUGUAGCAGUGAAAUGCGUAGAGAUGUGGAGGAACACCGAUGGCGAAGGCAGCCCCCCUGGGUCAAGAUUGACGCUCAUGCACGAAAGCGUGGGGAGCGGAGCAGG